AACAAGGUAGCCGUAGCUCUAGAGUUUGAUCAUGGCUCAGGAUUAACGCUGGCGGCAUGCCUAAUACAUGCAAGUCGAACGGAGUAGCAAUACUUAGGGGCGAACGGGUGAGUAACACGUAUCUAAUCUACCAUUUAGUGGGGAAUAACUGUUGGAAACGACAGCUAAUACCGCAUAAUAUUGCUGGAUAAUUUCCAGUAAUGAAAGGAGCUUUCAAGCUCCGCUGAUUGAUGAGGAUGCGGCGCAUUAGCUAGUUGGUAGGGUAAUGGCCUACCAAGGCAAUGAUGCGUAGCCGAUCUGAGAGGAUGAACGGCCACAUUGGGACUGAGACACGGCCCAAACUUCUACGGAAGGCAGCAGUAGGGAAUUUUUCACAAUGGGCGAAAGCCUGAUGGAGCAAUGCCGCGUGACUGAUGAAGGUCUUCGGAUUGUAAAGGUCUGUUGUAAGGGAAGAAAUGGUAAAACAGGAAAUGGUUUUAUCUAUGACGGUACCUUACCAGAAAGCCACGGCUAACUAUGUGCCAG
rnacentral:rRNA from 1 species